CUGGCUCAGGAUGAACGCUGGCGGCGUGCUUAACACAUGCAAGUCGAACGGAGUACUUCUCCCGAGACUGAGGAAGCUUG
rnacentral:rRNA from 1 species